rnacentral:rRNA from 1 species
UACGUAGGGGGCAAGCGUUGUCCGGAUUUAUUGGGCGUAAAGAGCGUGUAGGCGGCCUGACAGGUCUGCUGUGAAAACUCGAGGCUCAACCUCGAGCUGUCGGUGGAAACUGUCUGGCUAGAGUCCGGAAGAGGAGAGUGGAAUUCCUGGUGUAGCGGUGAAAUGCGCAGAUAUCAGGAGGAACACCGGUGGCGAAGGCGGAUCUCUGGGCCAUUACUGACGCUGAGGAGCGAAAGCGUGGGGAGCGAACAGG